CCGCGGUGGUUCCGGGACGACAUGGCGGCGGGGCCGAGGGCGCGGCUGGUAUCGCUCAGCGUGAUGGUACAGCGUCUGCAAGCAGUGAGGCUUCUAUCAAGCGAGCAUUAUCCAUCACAGUAGACCGAGCGCCCAGGCAGAGGGAGAUCAGUGGGAGCAUGGCAUGGCAUCGAGCAAGGGCAAAACCACUCACCUGCCUGGGAAGCUGAUUCCCUCACUGAACUGACAGCAAACCUGCACCAGCUGCACGAUGGAGGAAAUCGUCCUGCAGAAUCCUGGGGCUGUAGCAUUGCCCAAAGACCGCUUUGGCAAGAGGGCAGCUGCCAAGUUGGGCUUCAAGAUGAAGAUCAAUAAAAUGCAGUGACAGGCUGACCGGCAAACUUGACGACAGUGGACUUCCUUAAGAAAUCAAGAAGCAAGAGAGAAGACUCUUCUGGAGUGGGUCUCGCAAGUUGCCACUGAGAUGUUAUUCGGAAGGGUGUAAAACAGCCACCUGUGCAUAACUGCGGGCUCCUCCUCCCUGCUCUGUGGUUUCUGCCACCACAUCAUGGGACCUGAUCUACAGCUGGCUGGAGGAAAAAGUGAUUCCCGGCUGUCUUCUCCUCCAGAAUAAAAUAAGUUACAGAAAAUACUGGGAGCUGAAGUUGAGUUUGUGUGUUGGGUUUUUUUUUUUUUUGGUAAAGGCUGUCUACUUGAACAGAAAUGGUUUUGAGCAGGUAGAAAGGAUUUGGGGUUAAAACGCUUUCUGAAAUUCAAGCAGUUGUGAGCUUACCCUUCGUAGCAAAACCUGCUUCUCCCCGAUACUGAAAGAAUUAAGCGUGUGCAGACACUAAGUUGAAUAAAGGCAAUUCACGGUAACGGUGUGACAAAACUACUUACAGCUAAUCCAGG